rnacentral:rRNA from 1 species
UAGUUUGAUCCUGGCUCAGGACGAACGCUGGCGGCGUGCCUAACACAUGCAAGUCGAACGAAGCCAUUAAUUUCGGUUAAGGGCUUAGUGGCGGACGGGUGAGUAACGCGUGAGGAACCUGCCUUACGGGGGGGGAUAAUGUCUGGAAACGGACACUAAUACCGCAUGAUAUUCCAGCAUCACAUGAUGCAGGGAUCAAGGGAGCAAUCCGCUGUAAGAUGGACUCGCGUCCGAUUAGCUAGAUGGUGAGAUAGAGGCCCACCAUGGCGACGAUCGGUAGCCGGACUGAGAGGUUGAACGGCCACAUUGGGACUGAGACACGGCCCAGACUCCUACGGGAGGUAGCAGUGGGGGAUAUUGCACAAUGGAGGAAACUCUGAUGCAGCAACGCCGCGUGAAGGAAGACGGUCUUCGGAUUGUAAACUUUUGUACUCAGGGACGAUAAUGACGGUACCUGAGCAGCAAGCUCCGGCUAACUACAUGCCAGCAGCCGCGGUAAUACGUAGGGAGCGAGCGUUGUCCGGAUUUACUGGGUGUAAAGGGUGCGUAGGCGGCAGGACAAGUCAGCUGUGAAAACUAU